rnacentral:rRNA from 1 species
AUACGGAGGGGGCUAGCGUUGUUCGGAUUUACUGGGCGUAAAGCGCGCGUAGGCGGUAUAUCAAGUUAGGCGUGAAAGCCCCGGGCUCAACCCGGGAACUGCGCUUAUUACUGAUAAACUAGAGUCCGGGAGAGGGUGGCGGAAUUCCCAGUGUAGAGGUGAAAUUCGUAGAUAUUGGGAAGAACACCAGUUGCGAAGUCGGCCACCUGGACCGGUACUGACGCUGAGGUGCGAAAGCGUGGGGAGCAAACAGGAUUAGAUACCCCGGUAGUCC